AGAGUUUGAUCAUGGCUCAGGAUGAACGCUAGCGGCAGGCUUAAUACAUGCAAGUCGAGGGGCAGCGCAGUGUAGCAAUACAUGGGCGGCGACCGGCAAACGGGUGCGGAACACGUACACAACCUUCCUUUUAGUGAGGAAUAGCCCGGGGAAACCCGGAUUAAUACCUCGUAACAUCAUGAAAUGGCAUCGUUUUAUGA
rnacentral:rRNA from 1 species